GAUGAAUAAGCCUUGUGUAUGGGCUGGAUUAGUUGAGUUGUUUUAAGUAUUUUGGAUUGUUAUAUUUUAGUUUGAGUUAAUUAAGCCCAUAUAGUUAAGUAUAACUCAUUUUGGGCUUAAGUCUUGUCUUAUUCUUAUUACAAAAAUGAUAAGCCCAUAACUAUAUGGUGCCACAAAUAAUUAGUGGUGUUGGUUAAGAAGAU
rnacentral:lncRNA from 1 species